UGCCAGCCGCCGCGGUAAUACGGAGGGUGCAAGCGUUAAUCGGAAUUACUGGGCGUAAAGCGCACGUAGGCGGUUUGUUAAGUGGGAUGUGAAAGCCCCGGGCUCAACCUGGGAAUUGCAUUCCAAACUGACAGACUAGAGUGCAGUAGAGGGAGGUAGAAUUUCCUGUGUAGCGGUGAAAUGCGUAGAUAUAGGAAGGAAUACCAGUGGCGAAGGCGGCCUCCUGGACUGACACUGACGCUGAGGUGCGAAAGCGUGAGGAGCGAACAGGAUUAGAUA
rnacentral:rRNA from 1 species